rnacentral:rRNA from 1 species
CGGAGGAUGCAAGCGUUAUCCGGAAUCAGUUGGGUUUAAAGGGUCCGUAGGCGGUUUAAUAAGUCAGUGGUGAAAGCCCAUCGCUCAACGAUGGAACGGCCAUUGAUACUGUUAAACUUGAAUUAUUAGGAAGUAACUAGAAUAUGUAGUGUAGCGGUGAAAUGCUUAGAGAUUACAUGGAAUACCAAUUGCGAAGGCAGGUUACUACUAAUAUAUUGACGCUGAUGGACGAAAGCGUGGGGAGCGAACAGGAUUAGAUACCCUGGUAGUCCACGCCGUAAACGAUGGAUACUAGCUGUUCGGAGCAAUCUGAGUGGCUAAGCGAAAGUGAUAAGUAUCCCACCUGGGGAGUACGUUCGCAAGAAUG